UGUUGUCUAUAUUUAAACAAACAGUUUGACCUAUUGGUGCAAGGAGAUAUGAAUUUAUGGUCGUAAAUAAGCUAUCCAAGACACACUUUUACGUUCUAAAUAAUUGUGAAGAUAUUGAAAAUUUCAUUGAGUAAGUAUCAUCUUAGCAUACUGUUUAAUAUUUUAAGUAAAUUUUUUAUAUCGAUGUAAAAUUAAAAAUUAUAACUUAUUGCAG
rnacentral:lncRNA from 1 species